UCUGCCCCAUAAGUAAGGCUCUGCCCCAUAGCGGGGAGCCUGCCCCAUAGAGCCUGCCCCAUAGGAAGGAACCUGCCCCAUAGCAGGGAGCCUGCCCCAUAAGUAAGGCCCUGCCCCAUAGCGGGGAGCCUGCCCCAUAGCGAUCUGCCCCAUAGAAGGAACCUGCCCCAUAGCGGGGAGCCUGCCCCAUAGAGGUCUGCCCCACAGGAAAGGCCCUGCC